GAUGAACGCUGGCGGCGUGCCUAAUACAUGCAAGUCGAGCGAACAGAUAAGGAGCUUUCUCCUUUGACUUUAGCGGCGGACGGGUGAGUAACACGUGGUUAACCUACCUCUACGACUUUAAUAACUCCGGGAAACCGGUGCUAAUGCCGGAUAACAUUUAGAACCGCAUGGUUCUAAAGUGAAAGAUGGUUUUGCUAUCACUUAUAGAUGGACUCGCGCCGUAUUAGCUAGUUGGUAAGGUAACGGCGUACCAAGGCAACGAUACGUAGCCGACCUGAGAGGGUGAUCGGCGACAAUGGAACUGAGAAACGGUGGAGAAGACUACGGGAGGAAGCAGUAGGGAAUCUUACGCAAAGGGCGAAAGAAUGACGAAGCAACGCCGCGUGAGGGAUGAAGGUCUUCGGAUCGUAAAAAUCUGUUAUUAGGGAAGAAGAAAGGUGUAAGUAACUGUGCACGUCUUGACGGUACCUAAUUAGAAAGCCACGGCUAACUACGUG
rnacentral:rRNA from 1 species